rnacentral:rRNA from 1 species
UUCCUACGGGGGGCUGCAGUAAGGAAUAUUGGACAAUGGGCGGAAGCCUGAUCCAGCCAUCCCGCGUGCAGGAUGAAGGCCCUAGUGGUUGUAAACUGCUUUUAUUUGGGAAGAAAUCUGUGCUUUUAAGUGCAGUUGACGGUACCAAAGGAAUAAGCACCGGCUAACUCCGUGCCAGCAGCCGCGGUAAUACGGAGGGUGCAAGCGUUAUCCGGAAUCACUGGGUUUAAAGGGUGCGUAGGCGGCCUGCAAAGUCAGGGGUGAAAUGUCGUCGCUUAACGAUGAAAUUGCCUGUGAUACUGAUGGGCUUGAAACAGGUUGAGGUUGGCAGAAUGUGGCAUGUAGCGGUGAAAUGCAUAGAUAUGCCAUAGAAUACCGAUUGCGUAGGCAGCUGGCUGGACCUGGAUUGACGCUGAGGCACGAAAGCGUGGGGAGCAAACAGGAUUAGAUACCCCUGUAGUC